UACGGGGGGAGCAAGCGUUGUUCGGAUUUACUGGGCGUAAAGGGCGCGUAGGCGGUCAGCACAAGUCAGUUGUGAAAUCUCCGGGCUUAACUCGGAAAGGUCAACUGAUACUGUGCGACUAGAGUGCAGAAGGGGCAACUGGAAUUCUCGGUGUAGCGGUGAAAUGCGUAGAUAUCUGGAGGAACACCGGUGGCGAAGGGGGCAUCCCGGACCGGUAUUGACGAUGAGGCGCGAAAGCCAGGGGAGCAAA
rnacentral:rRNA from 1 species